AUCUCAGAUUAAGUAAGACUACCCGCUGAAUUUAAGCAUAUAAUUAAGCGGAGGAAAAGAAACUAACCAGGAUUCCCUCAGUAAGGGCGACUGAAGGGGGAAGAGCCCCACCUGAAUCGUUUUCGAAUUGUGGUGUGUCUGCGUCAUGGCUUGGUCCAAGUCCCUUGGAAAAGGGCAGCUGAGAGGGUGACACUCCCGUUUGGCUAAAGCGUAGGAGCAGACUCGGUGGAGUCGAGUUGUUUGGGAUUGCAGCUCAAAGCGGGUGGUAAAUUCCAUCCAAGGCUAAAUAGUGGUGGGAGACCGAUAGCGUACAAGUACCGUGAGGGAAAGAUGCAAAGAACUUUGAAAAGAGAGUUAAAGAGUACCUGAAAUUGUUGAAAGGGAAGCGAAGGAAACCAGUGCCGAAGCUUAGUCAUACUUCUCUUACUACUUGUGGUAAGGGCGCUGUGGCUUUGCGUGGGUCAGCAUCGGCUCUUUGCCUGGGAUAUAUCUUCAGUAGGUAGACGACCUCUUCGGAGGUGAGUGCCUAUUGUUGCUAUUCCGGGUUGGGCUGAGGUCAGUCACUCUGUGCUCGUGAUGCUGGCAAAAUGGUUUUCUUUACCCCGUCUUGUAACACGGACCAAGGAGUCUAACAUCUAUGCGAGUGUUCGGGUGUCAAACCCCUGCGCGAAAUGAAAGUGAACGGAGGUGGGAACCGCAAGGUGCACCAUCGACCGAUCCUGAUGUCUUCGGAUGGAUUUGAGUAAGAGCAUAGCUGUUGGGACCCGAAAGAUGGUGAACUAUGCCUGAAU
rnacentral:rRNA from 11 species